UACAAGGAGUCCCUUGACAUGCCAUACAGUUGUUUCAAUUUGUAUGUUUGCAAGACUUUGGAUUAUGAAAUUGCUAAUGAAUUAGUUGAUGAUGUUGUGGAAGAACAAUUAGAUUUGGAAGAAAUCAGA